GAGAUACUCCCUUCGUCCGGAAAUACUUGUCCUAAGAAUGAAUAAAAUAAAUGUAUCUAUAACUAAAAUAAGUCUAGAUACAUGAUUUCUAUGACGAGUAUUUCCGAACGGAGGGAGUAUUAU
rnacentral:pre_miRNA from 1 species